UACGGAGGGGACUAGCGUUGUUCGGAUUUACUGGGCGUAAAGCGCACGUAGGCGGAUCGUUAAGUCGGGGGUGAAAUCCUGGAGCUCAACUCCAGAACUGCCUUCGAUACUGGCGAUCUUGAGUCCGGAAGAGGUGAGUGGAACUCCUAGUGUAGAGGUGGAAUUCGUAGAUAUUAGGAAGAACACCAGUGGCGAAGGCGGCUCACUGGUCCGGUACUGACGCUGAGGUGCGAAAGCGUGGGGAGCAAACAGG
rnacentral:rRNA from 1 species